UGCCAUGACAUGCUAGAAUGAAUUUUAUUGAUUGGUGGAUUAUAUAUUAAUUAUUUACUGCAGAGGGGGUUCCGUGGACCAGCCUAUUAGAGGGGCACGGUAAACUCCAUUAUAUUAUUACCUCGAACGGAGAGGCGCGUAGGGUAUCUCCUGGGGUAUAGCUUAGGGUUCACUUCACGCCAAACCACCACGUGAAGGGGAACUCAGCCAACGCCAAGGAACGGCUGUAUUUUUUUCAAACAAAAAUAUAUUUUAAGUGUACACAAAAUUUUAACAGCCUUGGCGGACUCGGUUAGAUGCCCUGCGCAAGGUAUCACCGAGUAUGAGUUUUGGCACGAGCCAAAGUUUUAAGAAAUUCAUAAGCCAAGUUGAUUACUCGAUUUUUAUGGAUUGAUUUUAUUUGGUUGAAAUGAGUUGAAUGGUAAUGAAAUUACAGUAUGAUGAUUUAUUUUAA
rnacentral:lncRNA from 1 species